AGAACAGCUCAGGGAUGUUCAGCGGAGGCAUCAGAGGGCACACAACUUGCUGCCCACUGCAAAGUUGCCGCUUGCCACUUCCUUAUUAUUCGGUUUUCAUCUCCAGGCUGCAAGUCCAAGGAGAGGAUCGAGGCAGACAAGUGAGUCCAUUGUGUGAGUGUUUGCCCGGCAGCAGGCACCUGGCGACGGUCGAGAGGGGGAGAUGUGCACCACUCACUAGAAGGCUGCCAAAGAUCAGCUACAAGCCAGGCGGCUGAGCAGUGCUUUGGAAGGUGGAAGAAACAAGGAGUUCACCAAGCAUCUGCUGAGGGAUGCCUGUCCCUGGAACAAAGAUGCCAUCAGCCAAUCACUGACUGCUUUGGGAUUCUUCUACUGCUGCCUGUUGCAGAAUCAGCUUUCUGGGCUCUGCAAUGAAUUAAUUUUUCUUCAUCUUUCAUAAACUAUUCUAUCAAACCCGUUUCUCUGUAUUGCUUUGAAUGUGGUUUGCACUAAAUUAGUUGCCAACGUCUGUAU
rnacentral:lncRNA from 1 species